AUUUGUAUGCUCAAUUUAACAAGCUGAUUGAUCAAUAUAUACUUUAUAUAUAAAUAUUACCUUAUGAUUCCUUCACAUUUUAGAAAAUAUGAUAGUAAUAUACUACUAUGUAUUACAAAUGCACCAAGCCAUCAUGUGCGGGUAAAGGGAUAUUUAAAAACAAUAUCUUUCAUGUAUCCAAACAAUGCACUGCUCUUGCCUGCUUAGAAAGUUUAUCUAAAAUAUUUUCUCCAGCAUCAUUUGAGACCAUAACCAAUCCAGAAUAUAUUGCUAAUAUGCUAUCUUGUUAACCUGGAAAUUUUCUUCUUAGCAUCAAUUAAUAUAAUCCAUUCAGGAACUCCAACUAAUCAAGCAUCACUUGAUAUAAUCCAUUCAGAAACUCCAACCAACCAAAGUAAAUUUAAAAUAUGCUAUCUUGUUAACCGGGAAAUUUUAAUCUUAGCAUUACUUGAUAUAAUCCAUUAGGAACUCCAACCAACCAAAGAAAAUUUAAAAUAUGCUAUCUUGUUAACCUGGAAAUUUUAAUCUUAGCAUCAUUUAUAAUCCAUUCAGGAACAAUUAAUUUUUUUAAAGCAAAAUGCCCAAUAUAAAUUUAUAAAAUCUAAAUUUAAUAAAAAUCUACUAUUUUCUAAUAAUUAUUUAUAUUCUCAAAAUAGAGAAAACUAUUAUAUGCCUACAUAGAUAUUUAUUAAUUAUUAGGUUUUUACCUAAAAAUUCACAUCACUCUUUAUCAAUAUUAUGA